rnacentral:rRNA from 1 species
UGGGGAAUAUUGGACAAUGGGCGCAAGCCUGAUCCAGCCAUGCCGCGUGUGUGAAGAAGGCCUUCGGGUUGUAAAGCACUUUUGUUCGGGAAGAAAUCUUCCGACCUAAUACGUCGGGAGGAUGACGGUACCGAAAGAAUAAGCACCGGCUAACUUCGUGCCAGCAGCCGCGGUAAUACGAAGGGUGCAAGCGUUACUCGGAAUUACUGGGCGUAAAGCGUGCGUAGGUGGUUCGUUAAGUCUGCCGUGAAAGCCCCGGGCUCAACCUGGGAAUGGCGGUGGAUACUGGCGGACUAGAGUGCGGUAGAGGGUGGUGGAAUUCCCGGUGUAGCAGUGAAAUGCGUAGAGAUCGGGAGGAACAUCUGUGGCGAAGGCGGCCACCUGGACCAGCACUGACACUGAGGCACGAAAGCGUGGGGAGCAAACAGGAUUAGAUACCCUGGUAGUCCACGCCCUAAACGAUGCGGACUGGACGUUGGGCUCAACUAGGAGCUCAGUGUCGAAG